rnacentral:rRNA from 1 species
ACACGUAGGGGCCUGACGUUGUUCGGAAUCAUUGGGCGUAAAGGGCGCGCAGGCGGCCGUCCAAGUCCGGUGUUAAAUGGUCGGGCUCAACCCGAUCAUGCGCUGGAAACUGGGCGGCUGGAGUCCCGGAGGGGAUGCCGGAAUUCCAGGUGUAGGGGUGAAAUCUGUAGAUAUCUGGAAGAACACCGAUGGCGAAGGCCGGCAUCUGGCCGGAGGCUGGCGCUGAGGCGCGAGGGCGCGGGGAGCGAACAGGUUUAGAUACCCGGGUAGUCCGCGCAGUAAACGAUGCGCACCAGGUGUCGGGCGGCAGCGCCCGGUACCGGAGCAAACGCGAUGAGUGCGCCGCCUGGGGAGUAUGCCCGCAAGGGUGAAACUCAAAUGAAUUGACGGGG